UACGAAGGGGGCUAGCGUUGCUCGGAAUUACUGGGCGUAAAGCGCACGUAGGCGGCUUCUUAAGUCGGUGGUGAAAUCCUGGAGCUCAACUCCAGAACUGCCUUCGAUACUGGGAAGCUCGAGUCCGGGAGAGGUGAGUGGAACUGCGAGUGUAGAGGUGAAAUUCGUAGAUAUUCGCAAGAACACCAGUGGCGAAGGCGGCUCACUGGCCCGGUACGUGACGCUGAGGUGCGAAAGCGU
rnacentral:rRNA from 1 species